AAAAAGGGCUUCUGUCAUGUAUGACACAUGGAGUGGGGUGGCUGCGGCUUUCCUUACUUCGUGCGGAAUCGACAUCAAGAGAUUUCGGAAGCACAAUUUUUGCUCCUGGGGCUGCUGGUAAUCGUUGGUUCCGGCGCCCCG
ensembl:snRNA U11 spliceosomal RNA